UUUCAUUUUUAGACAAAAUUUGAUAUUCCUGAAGUUGCUAAAGGCUGGAUAUUGCAAUCAUUUGGGCGGAAGGUGAAGAACUGGAGGGCAAGAGUUAAGGAACUAUACCAUGAUCCGUCUUUGUCACUGAAGGAACAAAUAUGUUCUAGGCCAAAACAAGUGCAAAAAAAAAAAAAAACAAUGGAAGAAACUUGUGAAGUAUUGGAAUAAAGAAAAGUCUAAGCUCGUAAGUGAAAAAAACAAGGCGAAUCGGGCAAAGAAGAAGAUGGUUCAAGUAACGGGUAAAAAAAGUUAUGCUCGAGUCCGCGAAGAGCUAAAGGCAUCUAAGGGACAAGAUCCAAGUCGAUUGGAAAUGUUUCGUGCAUGUUUCUCCAAAGAUGGAACUACCAAAAAUUUGGAAGCUUCAAAUGCAAUUGUAAGUAAUAUGCUUA